CACGUAGGGCGCAAGCGUUGUCCGGAAUUAUUGGGCGUAAAGAGCUCGUAGGCGGUCUGUUGCGUCCGCUGUGAAAACUCGGGGCUUAACCCCGAGCCUGCAGUGGAUACGGGCAGACUAGAGGUAGGUAGGGGAGAAUGGAAUUCCCGGUGUAGCGGUGAAAUGCGCAGAUAUCGGGAGGAACACCGGUGGCGAAGGCGGGUCUCUGGGCCAUAACUGACGCUGAGGAGCGAAAGCGUGGGGAGCGAACAGG
rnacentral:rRNA from 1 species